GCCUCUGGCCAGGUGGUUCAGUUGGUUGGAGCACUCGUCCUGAUAUGCCAACGUUGCAGGUUCGAUUGUCAGUCAGGCACACACAAGAAUCAACCAAUGAAUGCAUAAAUAAGUGGAACAACAAAUUGAUAUGUUUCUCUAUCUAAAAUCAAUUUUAAAAUAAA